GACGAACGCUGGCGGCGUGCUUAACACAUGCAAGUCGAACGGUAAGGCCCUUCGGGGUACACGAGUGGCGAACGGGUGAGUAACACGUGGGUGAUCUGCCCUGCACUUCGGGAUAAGACUGGGAAACUGGGUCUAAUACCGGAUAGGACCACUGCCUGCAUGGGUGGUGGGGGAAAGCGUUUGUGGUGUGGGAUGGGCCCGCGGCCUAUCAGCUUGUUGGUGGGGUGAUGGCCUACCAAGGCGACGACGGGUAGCCGGCCUGAGAGGGUGACCGGCCACACUGGGACUGAGAUACGGCCCAGACUCCUACGGGAGGCAGCAGUGGGGAAUAUUGCACAAUGGGCGCAAGCCUGAUGCAGCGACGCCGCGUGAGGGAUGACGGCCUUCGGGUUGUAAACCUCUUUCAGCACCGACGAGGCGCAAGUGACGGUAGGUGCAGAAGAAGGACCGGCCAACUACGUGCCAGCAGCCGCCGUAA
rnacentral:rRNA from 1 species